rnacentral:rRNA from 1 species
AGUGAACGCUGGCGGUAGGCCUAACACAUGCAAGUCGAACGGCAGCACAGUAAGAGCUUGCUCUUACGGGUGGCGAGUGGCGGACGGGUGAGGAAUACAUCGGAAUCGACUUUUUCGUGGGGGAUAACGUAGGGAAACUUACGCUAAUACCGCAUACGACCUACGGGUGAAAGCAGGGGAUCUUCGGACCUUGCGCGAUUGAAUGAGCCGAUGUCGGAUUAGCUAGUUGGCGGGGUAAAGGCCCACCAAGGCGACGAUCCGUAGCUGGUCUGAGAGGAUGAUCAGCCACACUGGAACUGAGACACGGUCCAGACUCCUACGGGAGGCAGCAGUGGGGAAUAUUGGACAAUGGGCGCAAGCCUGAUCCAGCCAUACCGCGUGGGUGAAGAAGGCCUUCGGGUUGUAAAUCCCUUUUGUUGGGAAAGAAAAGCAGCAGGUUAAUACCCCGCUGUUCUGACGGUACCCAAAGAAUAAGCACCGGCUAACUUCGUG